rnacentral:rRNA from 1 species
CAGAGACUGCAAGCGUUAUUCGGAUUCACUGGGCGUAAAGGGUGCGCAGGCGGCCAAGUGUGUGAGGCGUGAAAGCCCGAUGCUUAACAUCGGAAUUGCACCUCAAGCUACAUGGCUAGAGCAUUGGAGAGGGUAGCAGAAUUCAUGGUGUAGCAGUGAAAUGCGUAGAUAUCAUGAGGAAUACCAGAGGCGAAGGCGGCUACCUGGACAAUUGCUGACGCUCAGGCACGAAAGCGUGGGGAGCAAAAGGGAUUAGAUACCCCUGUAGUCCACGCCCUAAACGGUGCACACUAGGUCUUGGCGGAUUCGACCCCCCCCAGGGCCCAAGCUAACGCGUUAAGUGUGCCGCCUGAGGACUACGGCCGCAAGGCUA